CUCCCCUUCCCGAAGUUUUCUUUGUCGAAGCCGCCCGGAGAGUCGAGCGAGGCCAUUGUCGUGGAGGUUGAGCGGAGGGCUUCAGAGGUAGCGGGGCCGUACCUUUCUAAGGAGUAAGAUUUUUCUUUGUUAUCUGCUGCUCAGGGGGGAUCCGAGUGAACCGAUCUUUCACUGUUAUGGGUGUGAAGUACCCGGAUCGGGAAGAGCCCAAGAAACUCGAGAAGAGGAGCAAGGGUGUUUCGGGCAAAGAUCCCGCUGCUAAGAAAAGGAAGAUUUCGUCUGCCGUGGUCGAGUUGUCAAAGGGUAACCCGAAGGUUCCGACGGCGAGGCCACCUCACCCGCCACCGAAGGUUCCUUCAUCAAAGAAAGAUGUUGCUACGAUGAUGGCGGAAUUGAGCCAUGUGAUAGAAGCUGGUGCCGCGGGGGUGCCUCCUCCCUCGGGUGACGGCUCUUCGCACACCGAGGCGUGUCGGCUGGAGAAGGAGCUCUUCGAUGUCAAAGGUAUUUUUGUAAACCUUGGUAUAAUGCGUGGUGGAUCAUUUUAAUGGUUAUGGGUUCUUCGUGGCCAGGUUUCAAGAAAGAACUCGAAGGUUAUGGUAUCGGGGACUUGGGCUGGGUAAUAGCGGCGAUGAAUGCGAAGGCUCUUGUAGCUGGAGGUAUGCUGCUUCGGAAGGCGAAGACUGAGUCCGAUAGGAUGCUUUAUUCUUCGGCUGAAAGACUUGGGCUGGUUGUUGACAACGAGCGCUUAAAUAAAGUGGUUGCGACGCUCCAAAAUGUUGAAGACCUUUGGGGUAAACAGAAUGAGGAACUGGAAGAGAAGGUUAGACAUCAAGAUGUUGCUAUUGCCGAGAUGCAGAAAGAGUUGGACUCGAGGGAGGCAACCAUCGAAGGUUUGAGGCAGGAGGUUGUUAAGGGAGUUGACAACACUAAGAAGGCUGAAGGUCUUGCCAUUCAACUUUCUGCCGAAUGUUCCAAAAAAAGAUGUGCUGAUUGAGAAAUUGCAAAAAGAGGCUCAAGAGAAUAUGCAGCUGCUCAGUGAUGCAAGUGACGUCAUUGAGGAAAAGAGCGACGCUAUCUUCGAAGCUUACCGUGACGCACUUGCUACUUUCGAGGCGGAGCCCGAGCCUUUGGUGAAGUCUGGUGGGCCGGAGGUUUCUGGUUUGCUAGACUGGAUGCUAAAGGAGUUUGCAGUCUUGGGGAAUAUCUUGACAAAUAUUUCAGACAACUCGGCAGUUAUCUCGUGCGAGAAUGCUUUCGUGUUGCUCAAGCACGAAGGCUGCCAAGACUUGGACAAGAUUGCCGCUCCCGGGUAUCAGUUCCCGUAGUCUUCAGAGUUGGAAGCUUGCACUGACAGGAUUCAAUCUGUGAAAAGGGCUUUUCUGCAAAGGUUCUGGUUAUCUGCUGGACGGCAAGUUUUGCGGGAUACCGCCCGCCAACGUCUUGAAGAGUCCAAGCGAGCUCGUGAAGCUGCGAAGAGUAUUGUGAACGAGGGUGCUGAUGCUGAGGAGAUCGCCGGGACGUCUGGCGUGGCUAGGAGCGAUGACGAAGAGAGCCCGAAGAUCUUGGAGUUUAGUUUAUGAAAUGAACUCGAGACUUUUAUAACUUUUGUCUGUGGAUGCUGAUGUAAAUAUUCCCACCCUGGCCAGGUAAUCGUGUCGGCAGGACGAACUCUUAUUGCGGCGCCCCUGCGGGUCAGAUGUGACGGUGUUGCUGCGCUCUGGUCUGAUUGGGAGCGGUUCAGCUUCGAGCAUCCUGGCGCGAGUGUUGCCGAGUUUUUGGAUGCUAGCGGAGCUAGGAGUAUUUAAAUCGUUUUGUGUGGUGAAUGAUACUCUCUUGAGGUGAAAAAUGUUGACCUUAUGUUUGAU